rnacentral:rRNA from 1 species
GACGAACGCUGGCGGCGCGCCUAACACAUGCAAGUCGAACGAGCGAGAGAGAGCUUGCUUUCUCGAGCGAGUGGCGAACGGGUGAGUAACGCGUGAGGAACCUGCCUCAAAGAGGGGGACAACAGUUGGAAACGACUGCUAAUACCGCAUAAGCCCACGGUGCCGCAUGGCACAGAGGGAAAAGGAGCAAUCCGCUUUGAGAUGGCCUCGCGUCCGAUUAGCUAGUUGGUGAGGUAAUGGCCCACCAAGGCGACGAUCGGUAGCCGGACUGAGAGGUUGAACGGCCACAUUGGGACUGAGACACGGCCCAGACUCCUACGGGAGGCAGCAGUGGGGAAUAUUGCACAAUGGGGGAAACCCUGAUGCAGCGACGCCGCGUGGAGGAAGAAGGUCUUCGGAUUGUAAACUCCUGUUGUUGGGGAAGAUAAUGACGGUACC